rnacentral:lncRNA from 1 species
GUCGUCGGUGAAGAUGGAAACCCUAAUUUCCGUCACUGGAGAAGAAGAGGGGUCGUUGGUCGAGCUCUUUUUUUAAUUUCCGUCACUGGAAAGUGGAAACCCUAAUUUCCAGGACUGGUCGAGCUCUUUUUUUAACUGGUCGAUCGAUUUUUUCAGGAAAUCGAUCGCUUCGCCUCGCCUCGCUUUUCACUGUUAAUCGAUCGCUUCUGUU